rnacentral:rRNA from 1 species
UACAGAGGGGGCAAGCGUUAUUCGGAAUUAUUGGGCGUAAAGGGCGCGUAGGCGGUCUGACAAGUGGAAGGUGAAAUCCCCGCGCUUAACGUGGGAACUGCCUUCCAAACUGUUUGACUUGAGUCCGGGAGAGGUGAGUGGAAUUCCCAGUGUAGCGGUGAAAUGCGUAGAUAUUGGGAGGAACACCAGUGGCGAAGGCGGCUCACUGGACCGGAACUGACGCUGAGGCGCGAAAGCGUGGGGAGCGAACAGG